rnacentral:rRNA from 1 species
AUUGAACGCUGGCGGCAGGCCUAACACAUGCAAGUCGAGCGGAUGAAGGGAGCUUGCUCCUGGAUUCAGCGGCGGACGGGUGAGUAAUGCCUAGGAAUCUGCCUGGUAGUGGGGGAUAACGUCCGGAAACGGGCGCUAAUACCGCAUACGUCCUGAGGGAGAAAGUGGGGGAUCUUCGGACCUCACGCUAUCAGAUGAGCCUAGGUCGGAUUAGCUAGUUGGUGGGGUAAAGGCCUACCAAGGCGACUAUCCGUAACUGGUCUGAGAGGAUGAUCAGUCACAAUGGAACUGAGACACGGUCCAGACUCCUACGGGAGGCAGCAGUGGGGAAUAUUGGGCAAGGGGGGAAAGGCUGAUCCAGGCAAGCCGCGUGUGUGAAGAAGGUCCUCGGAUUGUAAAGCACUUUAAGUUGGGAGGAAGGGCAGUAAGUUAAUACCUUGCUGUUUUGACGUUACAAACAGAAUAAGCACCGGCUAACUUCGUG